GACAGAGGCCACAAGCGUUAGUCGGAAUCACUGGGCUUAAAGGGUGCGUAGGCGGUCUUCAAAGCGUCCUGUGAAAGCCUCCGGCUCAACCGGAGAACAGCAGGGCGAACUGGAAGACUCGAGGCUGGUAGGGGCUCACAGAACAGUCGGUGGAGCGGUGAAAUGCGUAGAGAUCGACUGGAAUGCCGAUGGCGAAGGCGGUGAGCUGGGCCAGUCCUGACGCUGAGGCACGAAAGCGUGGGGAGCAAACGGG
rnacentral:rRNA from 1 species